AUUGAACGCUGGCGGCAGGCCUAACACAUGCAAGUCGAGCGAGCGGCGGACGGGUGAGUAAUGUCUGGGAAACAGCCCGAGAGAGGGGGAUAACUACAGGAAACGGGAGCGAAUACCGCAUACCAUCAGAUGUGCCCAGAUGGGAUUAGCUAGUAGGUGGGGUAUCGGCUCACCUAGGCGACUAUCACUAGCUGGUCUGAGAGGAUGACCAGCCACACUGGAACUGAGACACGGUCCAGACGCCUACGGGAGGCAGCAGUGGGGAAUAGUGCACAAUGGGCGCAAGCCUGAUGCAGCCAUGCCGCGUGUGUGAAGAAGGCCCUCGGGUUUUAAAGCACUUUCAGCGAGGAGGCGUUACCCGCAGAAGAAGCACCGGCUAACUCCGUGCCAGCAGCCGCGGUAAUUC
rnacentral:rRNA from 1 species